GUGGGGCAUGAGUGCCUCAUGCGGGUGAGCAAGAUGGUGCCACAGUCCCAAUCCCUCAUCCUCCUGGUGCUCUGGGUCUCAGGUGCAAGUGGGGACAUCGUGAUGACCCAGUCUCCAGCCUCCCUGGCUGUGUCUCCAGGAGAGACUGCCACCAUCAACUGCAAGUCGAGUCAGAGUAUUUAUUACAGCUCCAACCAGAAGAACUUCUUAGCCUGGUACCAAAAGAAAACUGGACAGGUCCCUAAACUGCUCAUCUCCUGGGCAUCCACCAGGGCAUCUGGGGUCCCCAACAGAUUCAGUGGCAGUGGGUCUGGGACAGAUUUCACUCUCACCAUCAGCAAUUUCCAGCCUGAGGAUGUGGCAGAGUAUUACUGUCAGCAACAUUACAGCUCUCCUCCCACAGUGCUUCAGCCUCGAACACAAACCUCCUCCCCAGGCAUGUUUGUCAGGGAGUCCUCCUGCAGCAGCUGUUUCCUCCCCUCACAGCCCUGCACAUGCACACUUCUCUUCUGCCCAAGAAACUGUCUCUUGAUCAGUUCUUGCAGUGUUUGUAGUCAGAGGGGAAGUUAAGAGUUUUGGCAUAUU